GUUUCAGAGCCUUUGCUGUGGCUCCUCCGCUCCUCUGUCAGUGCUCGCUGCCGUGGGGUAAUACCUCCGCAACACCAUAACCCGCUGAGGGUGCACACCUCCCUUCCCGAGACAAGCUGUGGCCAUGUGAAGCCAGCAAAAGCCUCAAGCAGAAUCGGGGUGUUUUUCCCAAGACUGAAGACAAUAUUCUUGUCGGUGAUGUGACCAUAUUAACUUCUCUGAACCUUCUUCAGCACUGAGUGAUUUUUCUGCCUGGAAAAUACAUGUGCAGAACUGAUACUGCUUGCACCGUGGUCCAUGCGCCCGCGACGUCAGCCGAAGGACAGCACUCAGCUCCCGCGCCCACCUCGGGGCCACGCUCCGGGGAUUAGCGGCGGACGAGACCUUCCUUCCACGGCAAGUCUUCCCAACUCACGCCGAGCCGUGACAAAGGAUCGCCRGGAGCGAAGCACGGCCGCUGGCCUGGGCGCUUUGCACGCCGGCAGAGCUGCUCUUAGUGCCUGUGCGUUUGCCCUCUCACCCGUCGGUCCCAUGGACUUUCCUCCUGAGGACACUUGGCGAGCAGACRCGGGAGUCCAUAUUCUGCGAAAAGGGGGUGGAAAGCACUGGGAUUAAAUGAAAGCUGAUCCACGUCCUCUGACUCCAACCUACUGAGAGACCAACCACUCGCAAAUUUGCAGGUACCAUUAAUCCCAGCCGCCAGCGGGACGAUACAACCAGACCAUACACGUUUGGGCAUCAAACCCCUCAAGGGCUGGGAACACGCUACUUAAAAUUCGUUAAGUCAAUGUCCUUACAAACAGCACGCCUAAAACGAAAUGCAGAAUUCGUCACAGCCGCCGGUGUGUAUCUUUGUGAUAAAUAGCUGCUAAACAGAGAAAAAAGCCCUUUGUUGUAUUACAGCGCUCUGACUUCAUUUAUGUUGCUGUAAUUUGGACUGUUCACAGACAGGUUGGCACUGACCGCAUUACCCAACAUCGCCUGGGAUAUACAUAUACACUUACUGGCCCUGACCAGAUGUAGUAAAAUAAUUUGGGAUUUAAACAGUUGCUUUUGUSUACAGCCUCCUGCUGCUUUUUGUCUUUAAUCGGAGCCGGGGUUAAUACGGCAGUGAGAGUGCGAAAUGGCUUGCGAUGAUCCUAGGUGGGUCUGGGGCGGAUUAAAGGCUGAAUCGCACUCUCUUAAAACURGAGACUGCUUUUGUGCUGGUAAAUGUCAAUAUUAAUGUGUUAAAUGCGAUUGCUAGCAGGUUUAGGUUAAAACCCCAAAAAUUAGUCACACCUUAGCAAACUUAGCUAAGUAAGUGUCCCGAGGGUGACAUGUCGCGUACCAGAAGUCACUGAUCUUAGGGAAAGCGUCACUAUUUCCCGGGGGGAAGGGCUGGCGGGCAGCAAUAUCUGUGUUUUAUGGUCAGAGAYGAGACUAGGGUCUAUGUCCGACUUGGGGUUUGGGCUUUGGAUGUGAGGCGCUGGCGGGAGCUACGCACGCUCGCAUGGGUAGCGCUCUUGGCAGCCUUUGGGCUAUUUAUAUAUAUAUAUUUUUUAUAUAUUUAGCAUAAUGAUUUUUCUAAUCAUACCCCAGGAUUUGGAGAAGAAAUGGCUCGUAAUUUUUUGAUACU
ensembl:lncRNA